rnacentral:piRNA from 1 species
UACGUGUUCUGGUCUGCCCAGG